GAUGAACGCUGGCGGCGCGCCUAACACAUGCAAGUCGAACGAUUAAAGCACCUUCGGGUGUGUAUAAAGUGGCGAACGGCUGAGUAACACGUGGGCAACCUGCCCCUUUCAUUGGGAUAGCCACGGGAAACCGUGGAUAAUACCGAAUACUUCGAGACUUCCGCAUGGAAGACUCGAGAAAGCUCCGGCGGAGAGGGAUGGGCCCGCGGCCUGUUAGCUUGUUGGUGGGGUAACGGCCUACCAAGGCAAUGAUGGGUAGCUGGGUUGAGAGACCGACCAGCCAGAUUGGGACUGAGAAACGGCCCAGACUCCUACGGGAGGCAGCAGUGGGGAAUCUUGCACAAUGGGCGAAAGCCUGAUGCAGCGACGCCGCGUGCGGGAUGAAGGCCUUCGGGUUGUAAACCGCUUUCAGCAGGGACGAGGCGAAAGUGACGGUACCUGCAGAAGAAGCCCCGGCUAACUACGUG
rnacentral:rRNA from 1 species